rnacentral:rRNA from 1 species
UGGCUCAGAUUGAACGCUAGCGGGAUGCCUUACACAUGCAAGUCGAACGGCAGCACGGACUUCGGUCUGGUGGCGAGUGGCGAACGGGUGAGUAAUGUAUCGGAACGUGCCUAGUAGCGGGGGAUAACUACGCGAAAGCGUAGCUAAUACCGCAUACGCCCUACGGGGGAAAGCAGGGGAUCGUAAGACCUUGCACUAUUAGAGCGGCCGAUAUCGGAUUAGCUAGUUGGUGGGGUAACGGCUCACCAAGGCGACGAUCCGUAGCUGGUUUGAGAGGACGACCAGCCACACUGGGACUGAGACACGGCCCAGACUCCUACGGGAGGCAGCAGUGGGGAAUUUUGGACAAUGGGGGAAACCCUGAUCCAGCCAUCCCGCGUGUGCGAUGAAGGCCUUCGGGUUGUAAAGCACUUUUGGCAGGAAAGAAACGUCGUGGGUUAAUACCCCGCGAAACUGACGGUACCUGCAGAAUAAGCACCGGCUAACUACGUGCCAGCAGCCGCGGUAAUACGUAGGGUGCAAGCGUUAAUCGGAAUUACUGGGCGUAAAGCGUGCGCAGGCGGUUCGGAAAGAAAGAUGUGAAAUCCCAGAGCUUAACUUUGGAACUGCAUUUUUAACUACCGAGCUAGAGUGUGUCAGAGGGAGGUGGAAUUCCGCGUGUAGCAGUGAAAUGCGUAGAUAUGCGGAGGAACACCGAUGGCGAAGGCAGCCUCCUGGGAUA